CUGAAAUCAGGCGGGAUUACCCGCUGAACUUAAGCAUAUCAAUAAGCGGA
rnacentral:rRNA from 1 species